rnacentral:rRNA from 1 species
AUGAACGCUAGCUACAGGCUUAACACAUGCAAGUCGAGGGGCAGCAUGAACUUAGCUUGCUAAGUUUGAUGGCGACCGGCGCACGGGUGAGUAACACGUAUCCAACCUGCCGAUGACUCGGGGAUAGCCUUUCGAAAGAAAGAUUAAUACCCGAUGGCAUAGUUCUUCCGCAUGGUAGAACUAUUAAAGAAUUUCGGUCAUCGAUGGGGAUGCGUUCCAUUAGGUUGUUGGCGGGGUAACGGCCCACCAAGCCUUCGAUGGAUAGGGGUUCUGAGAGGAAGGUCCCCCACAUUGGAACUGAGACACGGUCCAAACUCCUACGGGAGGCAGCAGUGAGGAAUAUUGGUCAAUGGACGAGAGUCUGAACCAGCCAAGUAGCGUGAAGGAUGACUGCCCUAUGGGUUGUAAACUUCUUUUAUACGGGAAUAAAGUGAGGCACGUGUGCCUUUUUGUAUGUACCGUAUGAAUAAGGAUCGGCUAACUCCGUGCCAGCAGCCGCGGUAAUACGGAGGAUCCGAGCGUUAUCCGGAUUUAUUGGGUUUAAAGGGAGCGUAGGCGGACGCUUAAGUCAGUUGUGAAAGUUUGCGGCUCAACCGUAAAAUUGCAGUUGAUACUGGGUGUCUUGAGUACAGUAGAGGCAGGCGGAAUUCGUGGUGUAGCGGUGAAAUGCUUAGAUAUCACGAAGAACUCCGAUUGCGAAGGCAGCUUGCUGGACUGUAACUGACGCUGAUGCUCGAAAGUGUGGGUAUCAAACAGGAUUAGAUACCCUGGUAGUCCACACAGUAAACGAUGAAUACUCGCUGUUUGCGAUAUACAGUAAGCGGCCAAGCGAAAGCGUUAAGUAUUCCACCUGGGGAGUACGCCGGCAACGGUGAAACUCAAAGGAAUUGACGGGGGCCCGCACAAGCGGUGGAGCAUGUGGUUUAAUUCGAAGCAACGCGAAGAACCUUACCAGGUCUUGACAUCCUUCUGACCGGCCUAGAGAUAGGCUUUCUCUUCGGAGCAGAAGUGACAGGUGGUGCAUGGUUGUCGUCAGCUCGUGUCGUGAGAUGUUGGGUUAAGUCCCGCAACGAGCGCAACCCUUAUUGUUAGUUGCCAUCAUUAAGUUGGGCACUCUAGCGAGACUGCCGGUAAUAAACCGGAGGAAGGUGGGGAUGACGUCAAAUCAGCACGGCCCUUACGUCCGGGGCUACACACGUGUUACAAUGGGGGGUACAGAAGGCAGCUACACGGCGACGUGAUGCUAAUCCCUAAAGCCUCUCUCAGUUCGGAUUGGAGUCUGCAACCCGACUCCAUGAAGCUGGAUUCGCUAGUAAUCGCGCAUCAGCCACGGCGCGGUGAAUACGUUCCCGGGCCUUGUACACACCGCCCGUCAAGCCAUGAAAGCCGGGGGUACCUGAAGUGCGUAACCGCAAGGAGCGCCCUAGGGUAAAACUGGUGAUUGGGGCU